rnacentral:rRNA from 1 species
UACAGGGGGUGCAAACGUUGCUCGGAAUCAUUGGGCGUAAAGCGCACGUAGGCGGUUCGUUAUGUCGGAUGUGAAAGCCCUUGGCUUAACCGAGGAAGUGCAUCCGAAACUGGCGAGCUAGAGUACGAAAGAGGAUCGCGGAAUUCCCGGUGUAGAGGUGAAAUUCGUAGAUAUCGGGAGGAACACCGGUGGCGAAGGCGGCGACCUGGGUAGAUACUGACGCUGAGGCGCGAAAAGCGUGGGGAGCAAACAGG